UAGGUGUGGGGGACAUUCCACGUUUUCCGCGCCGUAGCUAACGCAUUAAGUGCCCCGCCUGGGGAGUACGGCCGCAAGGCUAAAACUCAAAGGAAUUGACGGGGGCCCGCACAAGCGGCGGAGCAUGCGGAUUAAUUCGAUGCAACGCGAAGAACCUUACCAAGGCUUGACAUGGGCCAGACCGCCGCAGAAAUGUGGUUUCCCCUUUGGGGCUGGUUCACAGGUGGUGCAUGGUUGUCGUCAGCUCGUGUCGUGAGAUGUUGGGUUAAGUCCCGCAACGAGCGCAACCCUCGUUCUAUGUUGCCAGCACGUGAUGGUGGGGACUCAUAGGAGACUGCCGGGGUCAACUCGGAGGAAGGUGGGGACGACGUCAAAUCAUCAUGCCCCUUAUGUCUUGGGCUUCACGCAUGCUACAAUGGCCGGUACAAAGGGUUGCGAUACUGUGAGGUGGAGCUAAUCCCAAAAAGCCGGUCUCAGUUCGGAUUGGGGUCUGCAACUCGACCCCAUGAAGUCGGAGUCGCUAGUAAUCGCAGAUCAGCAACGCUGCGGUGAAUACGUUCCCGGGCCUUGUACACACCGCCCGUCAAGUCACGAAAGUUGGUAACACCCGAAGCCGGUGGCCUAACCCCUUGUGGGAGGGAGCUGUCGAAGGUGGGACUGGCGAUUGGGACU
rnacentral:rRNA from 1 species